CUAGCAACAUCUCAUGUUAAUAGGGUGGUUGCUUCUUUUCGAUGCAACUGAACCACUGUAAUCAGUCAAGAAUAGUCAAUGCCGAUUGGACUCCCGCACUCCUAUAACGGUGGAAGACCUAUGACUUAAUAUUUAAAGAAAGGUUUAAUUUAUCUCAUCUUAAUUAGUCAUAAUUGUUAUGACUAAUCCUAGGAGCAUGGGUUAGCUCAAAUCAUCAGGUAUCCACAUCAAGACUAAACAACCAAAUCGGCCAGGUAAGUGCA
rnacentral:lncRNA from 1 species